rnacentral:misc_RNA from 1 species
GCCUCAUGUAACGGCAACCAUCCUCUUUGUGGAAGCAACGAGAAGUACAAAGGAUUCCUUAUGUUGGCACUAUAAACCUUGACAGAUUCACCAGGAGUGAAUAUCCCUCUAACGCAAGUGAGAAAAUGACCACUGGCUUGCAUCUCAAGAACAGAGUAUUCAGCGGUAAGAGGAAGAUAAUUGGUAAUUGCAAGGGGUGGCCUGAUCACAAGGGUCCAAUCUUGAAUAGGAUCAGAGUGCAUGUCCUUUGU